CAGCAUGGGUGCCCGAAAGCACAAUUUUUUAACUGAUUUAUUCAAACACAAGAACAAGGAACCUAAAAGCCGAAGUACCUUUUAUGUUCCACUUCAAGAGACAGACGUCUCAUUUGCUCUAAAUCUGGAAGCUGAAAAACCUGCAGAAGCAAGCGUGAAGAAAGGGAAAUUUCGACGCCUCUGCAAAUCUAUAAGGAACUUCUUUCGA